rnacentral:rRNA from 1 species
UACGUAGGGUGCAAGCGUUAAUCGGAAUUACUGGGCGUAAAGCGUGCGCAGGCGGUUGGGGAAGACAGAGGUGAAAUCCCCGGGCUUAACCUGGGAACUGCAUUUGUGACUGCACGGCUAGAGUGUGUCAGAGGGGGGUAGAAUUCCACGUGUAGCAGUGAAAUGCGUAGAUAUGUGGAGGAAUACCGAUGGCGAAGGCAGCCCCCUGGGAUAACACUGACGCUCAUGCACGAAAGCGUGGGGAGCAAACAGG